ACACGUAUGAAAGUCAAGCUGAAAGACUUUACUCAAUGAUGUAAGUGGUGGUGCAUGGUCGUUCUUAGUUCGUGGAUUGAUUUGUCUGGUCUAUUCCGAUAACGAGCGAGACCCCAUCGUUCCUAAUAGGGGCGGCUAGCCCGCCGGCCGAAAGGUCGGUAGCUUCCGCUUAAGAUUUGCUUCUUAGACGUAUCAGAGCCGAUAAGGUUCUUGAAAUGGGUUAAUAACAGGUCAGUCAUGCCCUUAGAUGUUCUGGGCCGCACGCGCGUUACAAUGGCAUGUAAAGCAAGUGCUUGAAAAGGCGUCUCCGGGGCCGAAAGGUCCUGGUAACCCUUAGUCCCUGCCUUGACUGGGACAGAUCAUUGCAAUUAUUGGUCUCCAACGAGGAAUUUUUAGUAGUCGUAGGUCAUUAACCUACGACGA
rnacentral:rRNA from 1 species